AAAAAAGCCAACACACUCGCGCGCUCACGAUCUGCGCCAACACACCGCGUACCGCCAGUCGAUUGAACGCGUCGUGCCGCUGUCUUUCAAUGCUACGACUGUUGCCACAGAGUGUUGCCUGACGCCUGUGUUCACUAUUGGUGCUUGUGGUGUUGUGACCGAUCCUCAUCUGGCUGAUCCUCCUACAGCUGCGGGAGCUGUUGCUGCUAUUGCUACAAAGUCCGUUUCUGCAUUUAUUGCUACUGCUGCUUCUUCUUCGGCAUCUUUUAAUUCUUCCUCUUCGUCUUCUAUUUAUUGCCGUGCUAUACUCGUAUUUAUUGUUGCCAGCAAGCAGCUAACAACAACAAUAAAGCGGUGUCCGUUUAUUGUGAUCGCUUAGCAGCCAUUUCGUUUUUAAUUUUAGAGCAUGUCUAUUUUCUUCUAAUUAUAUCGCUGGCGGUGAGGAGAAACGGCCAAUGUAUACAAAAUUAUGAACCACAAAGUUGUUGUAAAAAUACGCUCUUCGCCUGCAGUAUAAAAUAAGACAUAUAGUUGAAAGGAAACGAAAGCGCGUAUAAUGAAGGCUUUAUUGAAGAUGUAAAGUUCCAAACCUCGAUUCUUAGAUAGACACAAGCUGGAGAGAGAAAUUCUUACAAACAAAUCCGCGGUGAUCAAAAUUUCGAAUAUUCUGCUCAAGUGAUCGAUGGUCACACGAUUACUUCUGAUCCUUACCGACCUAUAGCACUAUUUAAAUAAUUGCGCAUUUCAGAUCAAAGAUUCAGCGGCUUUUUCCUGGAAGCUUAAUAUUCAUUAUUGGACGCUGUCUAAAUAACAAAAUGACAUUACAAAAAUCGAACGGUAAUACUUCUCCUAGAAACAACGCACCCAAGUUAAGUGUCAAGGUGAUUUGCUUAAUAUAAGGCCUUCAUAUUACCUCCAUUACUAUCUCUCUAUCUACACAGAACAGAAGAUGUCAGAUGCUCGGAGUCACUAAAUGGGUAAAGGACACUC